rnacentral:rRNA from 1 species
UCCAAUUGAAGCAGAGGACAGUGGCGGACGGGUGAGUAACGCGUGAGGAACCUGCCUUUCAGAGGGGGACAACAGUUGGAAACGACUGCUAAUACCGCAUGACGCAUAGAGGUCGCAUGAUCUUUAUGCCAAAGAUUUAUCGCUUCAAGAUGGCCUCGCGUCUGAUUAGCUGGUUGGUGAGGUAACGGCCCACCAAGGCGACGAUCAGUAGCCGGACUGAGAGGUUGACCGGCCACAUUGGGACUGAGACACGGUCCAGACUCC